UGGGGAAUUUUGCACAAUGGGGGAAACCCUGAUGCAGCGACGCCGCGUGAUUUAGAAGGCCUUCGGGUUGUAAAAAUCUUUUCUAUGGGAAGAAAAUGACAGUACCAUAGGAAUAAGGACCGGCUAAUUACGUGCCAGCAGCCGCGGUAAUACGUAAGGUCCGAGCGUUGUCCGGAAUCAUUGGGCGUAAAGGGAACGUAGGCGGGUAAGCAAGUUAGAAGUGAAAUCCUAUAGCUCAACUAUAGUAAGCUUUUAAAACUGCUCAUCUUGAGGUAUGGAAGGGAAAGUGGAAUUCCUAGUGUAGCGGUGAAAUGCGCAGAUAUUAGGAGGAAUACCGGUGGCGAAGGCGACUUUCUGGCCAUAACCUGACGCUGAGGUACGAAAGCGUGGGUAGCAAACAGG
rnacentral:rRNA from 1 species